CAUUCACGGAGAGUUUGAUCCUGGCUCAGGACGAACGCUGGCGGCGUGCUUAACACAUGCAAGUCGAACGAUGAAGCCGCUUCGGUGGUGGAUUAGUGGCGAACGGGUGAGUAACACGUGGGCAAUCUGCCCUGCACUCUGGGACAAGCCCUGGAAACGGGGUCUAAUACCGGAUAUGACACGGGAUCGCAUGGUCUCCGUGUGGAAAGCUCCGGCGGUGCAGGAUGAGCCCGCGGCCUAUCAGCUUGUUGGUGGGGUGAUGGCCUACCAAGGCGACGACGGGUAGCCGGC
rnacentral:rRNA from 1 species